ACAAAGUCUGAAGUCAGACAGCUAUGGAGAGACUCUGAGGGAGACAAAACAGCCCGAGAUGGUGGAUUGGGCCACAGACCUGGGUCAAACGGCUUCAGCAAACACAACCCCAUCUGGCUGAACAAAGCGAGGUUGCGGGUUGGCAUAGUGAAGGGCAGACUGACCUUGACCCAGAAAACCUGGCACCCAUCCUUCAUGUCAACCAGCAUCGACACCUGAUGAAUGUGUCACCUAACAACAGUGAGGCUGAGCUCCUGUCAGCUCCAGAGGGGCUGUUCCAUAGCGGAUCAUGACCUUUGACCUUCCUGUGCAAAAAAAAGAAGAAAAAAAAAAAAAAACAUUAGGGAAAGCAAAAAUUAAACAUGACAUCAACAUAAAACAUAUCACUGCCACUGCGAGGGAACUUUGUAUCUGAAACUUUUUCCCAGGUUUUGCAUUCGGGAUCUGAAAAGAUU